rnacentral:rRNA from 1 species
CUGCCCGCCGCAGUAGGACAAAAAGACCCCGUGGAGCUUUACUGCAGCUUGCCAUUGCGUUAGGACGCAGUCUGUGUAGGAUAGCUGGGAGGCUUGGAACCUGGAGCGCUAGCUUCGGGGGAGCCGACGGUGAAAUACCAGCCUGAGUGCGUUUUGACCCUAACCCGUGCCCUAAACUGGCAGGGAGACAGUGGCAGGUGGGCAGUUUGACUGGGGCGGUCGCCUCCUAAAGAGUACCGGAGGCGCCCAAAGGUUCCCUCAGGUGGAAUGGAAACCCACCUUCGAGUGUACAGGCAUAAGGGAGCUUGACUGCAAGACAAACACGUCGAGCAGAGACGAAAGUCGGGCUGAGUGAUCCCACGAUACCGUGUGGAAGGGUCGUGGCUUAACGGACAAAAGCUACCCCGGGGAUAACAGGCUGGUGAAGUCCAAGAGUUCACAUCGACGACUUCGCUCGGCACCUCGAUGUCGGCUCAUCGCAUCCUGGGGCUGGAUAAGGUCCCAAGGGUUGGGCUGUUCGC